AUUGAACGCUGGCGGCAGGCUUAACACAUGCAAGUCGAGCGGGGACUUCGGUCCUAGCGGCGAACGGGUGAGGAAUGCUUGGGAAUCUGCCCAGUAGCGGGGGAUAACGUUUCGAAAGGAACGCUAAUACCGCAUACGCCCUACGGGGGAACGGGGGGGAUCGUCGGACCUCUCACUAUUGGAUGAGCCCAAGUCGGAAUAGCUAGUUGGUGGGGUAAAGGCCUACCAAGGCGACGAUCCGUAGCUGGUCUGAGAGGAUGAUCAGCCACACUGGAACUGAGACACGGUCCAGACUCCUACGGGAGGCAGCAGUGGGGAAUUUUGGACAAUGGGCGAAAGCCUGAUCCAGCCAUGCCGCGUGAGUGAAGAAGGCCUUCGGGUUGUAAAGCUCUUUCGGACGGAAAGAAAUCGCACGGGCCAAUACCUCGUGUGGAUGACGGUACCGUAAGAAGAAGCACCGGCUAACUACGUGCCAGCAGCCGCAGUAAUAC
rnacentral:rRNA from 1 species